UUAGGAUUUAGGGUUUAGGGUUUAGGGUUUAAGGUUUAGAGUUUAGGGUUUAGGGUUUAGAGUUUAGGGGUGGAGUUUAGGGUUUUGGGUUUUGGGUUUAGAGUUAAGGGGUGGGGUUUAGGAUUUAGGGUUUAGAGUUUAGGUUUUAGGGUUUAGGGUUUAGAAUUGGGGAGUGGGGUUUUGGGAUAAAAUUUCAAAUUUUAAAAAAUAAAAAAAAUUAAAUUUUUUCAAAAGAUAAAAUGCUAUUUUGGUCAUUUUAAUUUUUGAAGGCUAUUUUUGUGACAUAAACUUAGAAAAGUGUUAUUUUGGAGAUUUGCC
rnacentral:lncRNA from 1 species